ncrna:unclassified sequences IMES-1 RNA motif
CGGAGACCGAUAAGAGACCAACUGCAGACGGAAACUUAAGAGAAACCGAAGGAAGAGCCCUCAGGGUGAAAGCGUUUUAAAGAGUAUACGAUAAAAAAUAGCUUUAAAACCCACCAAGGAUGAAGAGAUAGCAUCCAAGGAGCUAGAGAGAAUCUCACUCUAGACACAUGGGGAACUCGAACUAAGAGA